rnacentral:rRNA from 1 species
UACAGGGGGGGCGAGCGUUGUUCGGAAUUAUUGGGCGUAAAGAGCUCGUAGGCGGCUAGUCGCGUCGGCUGUGAAAACCUGGGGCUCAACCCCGGGCCUGCAUUCGAUACGGGCAGACUAGAGUUCGGUAGGGGAGUCUGGAAUUCCUGGUGUAGCGGUGAAAUGCGCAGAUAUCAGGAGGAACACCGGUGGCGAAGGCGGGACUCUGGGCCGAUACUGACGCUGAGGAGCGAAAGCGUGGGGAGCAAACAGG